rnacentral:rRNA from 1 species
ACGUUGGCGGCGUGCCUAAUACAUGCAAGUCGAGCGGACAGAAGGGAGCUUGCUCCCGGACGUUAGCGGCGGACGGGUGAGUAACACGUAGGUAACCUGCCCCUUAGACUGGGAUAACUCCGGGAAACCGGAGCUAAUACGGGAUAAUAAAGAGAAUCACCUGAUUUUCUUUUGAAAGACGGUUUCGGCUGUCACUAAGGGAUGGGCCUGCGGCGCAUUAGCUAGUUGGUAAGGUAACGGCUUACCAAGGCGACGAUGCGUAGCCGACCUGAGAGGGUGAUCGGCCACACUGGGACUGGGACACGGCCCAGACUCCUACGGGAGGCAGCAGUAGGGAAUCUUCCGCAAUGGACGAAAGUCUGACGGAGCAACGCCGCGUGAGUGAGGAAGGCCUUCGGGUCGUAAAGCUCUGUUGUGAGGGAAGAACAAGUACCGGGGUAACUACCGGUACCUCGACGGUACCUCACCAGAAAGCCACGGCUAACUACGUGCCAGCAGCCGCGGUAAUACGUAGGUGGCAAGCGUUGUCCGGAAUUAUUGGGCGUAAAGCGCGCGCAGGCGGCUUCUUAAGUCUGAUGUGAGAU